CCUACGGGUGGCAGCAGUGAGGAAUAUUGGUCAAUGGGCGGGAGCCUGAACCAGCCAAGUCGCGUGAAGGAAGAAGGUACUUAGUAUUGUAAACUUCUUUUGUCGGGGAACAAAGGCGGAGACGCGUCUCCGGAUGAGUGUACCCGAAGAAAAAGCAUCGGCUAACUCCGUGCCAGCAGCCGCGGUAAUACGGGGGAUGCAAGCGUUAUCCGGAUUUAUUGGGUUUAAAGGGUGCGUAGGCUGUGAGGUAAGUCAGCGGUGAAAUGCCCCCGCUCAACGGGGUGAAGUGCCAUUGAUACUGCCUUGCUGGAAUGCGGAUGCCGUGGGAGGAAUGUGUGGUGUAGCGGUGAAAUGCAUAGAUAUCACACAGAACACCGAUUGCGAAGGCAUCUCACGAAUCCGCGAUUGACGCUGAUGCACGAAAGCGUGGGUAUCAAACAGGAUUAGAUACCCCUGUAGUC
rnacentral:rRNA from 1 species